GCCGGGAACGGUGGCACAUGCCAGUAGUCCCAGCUACUCCGGAGGCUGAGGUGGAUCGCUUGAACCCGGUUCUGGACUGUGGUGCGCUAGGCCAAUGGGGUGUCUGCACUAAGUUCAGCAUCAAUAUGGUGACCUCCCGGGAGCGGGGGACCACUAGGUUGCCUAAAGAGGGGUGAACCGGCCCAGGUCAGAAAUGGCACAGGUCAAAACUCCCGUGCUGAUCAGUAGUGGGAUCGCACCUGUGAAUAGCCACUGCACACCAGCCUGGGCAACAUAGCAAGACCUCGUCUCUA
rnacentral:SRP_RNA from 1 species